CGGAUCGCGUUGGCCUGGUGGGCGCCUGUGUGUUCAGCCUUCGGGUGCAUUGGCACAGGUGCUUAUCCGCUGUGGGUUUUCGGGGGUCGAUUUUGGAUCCCUGGAGGCUGAGGGCUCCCUUCGGGUGAGGACAGCGGAGUGACGACGCGAUACGACCCGUCUUGAAACACGGACCAAGGAGUCUAGCGCGGGUGCGAGUCGGAGGGUGCAAGCCCGUGGGCGAAGUGAAAGCGAGUGUAAAAACGAGCAGUUUGGGGCGGCAUAAGAUCGUUGAUCUCAAGACCGACCCAGAGCAGUUGCGCUGGGACCCGAAAGAUGGUGAACUAUGCCGGAGUAGGGCAAAGCCAGAGGAAACUCUGGUGGAGGCUCGUAGCGGUGCUGACGUGCAAAUCGCUCGUCCAACUUGGGUAUAGGGGCGAAAGACUAAUCGAACCAUCUAGUAGCUGGUUCCCUCCGAAGUUUCUCUCAGGAUAGCGGGCCGACAAGUUGUUUUGUGCGGUAAAGCGAAUGAUUAGCGCACGUGGGGCCAUUUCGGCUUCAGGCGAUUCUCAAACUUUAAAUGCGCAAGGGUGUCGCUGCUUAAUUGAGCGGCACCGCUAAAAACGUCGGCCCUGUGGGCCACUUUUGGUAAGCAGAACUGGCGAUACGGGAUGAACCGUAAGCAUGGUUAAGGCGCCAAACUGCCCGCUUAU
rnacentral:rRNA from 1 species